rnacentral:misc_RNA from 1 species
GGUAUAAGAGACAGGUGAAUCAUCGAAUCUUUGAACGCACAUUGCGCCCGCCAGUAUUCUGGCGGGCAUGCCUGUUCGAGCGUCAUUUCAACCAUCAAGCCCCCGGCUUGUGUUGGGGACCUGCGGCUGCCGCAGGCCCUGAAAACCAGUGGCGGGCUCGCUAGUCACUCCGAGCGUAGUAGUUUACAUCUCGCUCAGGGCGUGCUGCGGGUUCCGGCCGUUAAAAGCCUUCAUAACCCAAGGUUGACCUCGGAUCAGGUAGGAAGACCCGCUGAACUUAAGCAUAUCAAUAAGCGGAGG